rnacentral:lncRNA from 1 species
GAUGGGUUAAAAUAAUUCUAACUCGCACUCAACAUGGACCAUCAAUCCAAGAAUGAUCAUAGUGAGUUCUCACAAUUCAUUAAUGGUGCCUAGCAGCAUGUGGUAGCAAUCUAGUAGAAUAGGAAGUAGAAUCUCUAGGUGUAGUUGCUGUGUGAUUCAGUUCUUCUAUAGUGAGUUCCGACAAGAUAAAGAUCAUGAAAACUCAUCAAACUCCAUCAUCCGCCAUAUAAAAAUUUUGAUCAGCUCGAGUCCAAAUUGUGAAACUCAUAAAACACCUCUCCAUCAAUCACCUUGCAGUGGCCACUGACUUAAAGGCUCAUCUUCUCAAAUCUCAUAGGAUUGCUCUCUAUCUACUAAGAUCGAUAAAUCUCCUAUAAAUGCACACUCUACUCCUACAGUGAACCUACUGUAGCCAACAAAUACCGUA